GACGUAGGGCGCGAGCGUUGUCCGGAUUUAUUGGGCGUAAAGAGCUCGUAGGCGGCUUGUCGCGUCGGAUGUGAAAGCCCACGGGGCUUAACCCCGGGUCUGCAUUCGAUACGGGCAGGCGUAGAGUUCGGUAGGGGAGAGUCGGAAUUCCUGGAUGUAGCGGUGGAAAUGACGCAGAGUAUACAGGGAGGAACCACCGGGUGGGAC
rnacentral:rRNA from 1 species